rnacentral:rRNA from 1 species
UGGGGAAUUUUGGACAAUGGGCGAAAGCCUGAUCCAGCAAUGCCGCGUGUGUGAAGAAGGCCUUCGGGUUGUAAGGCACUUUUGUCCGGAAAGAAAUCCUUGGCUCUAAUACAGUCGGGGGAUGACGGUACCGGAAGAAUAAGCACCGGCUAACUACGUGCCAGCAGCCGCGGUAAUACGUAGGGUGCAAGCGUUAAUCGGAAUUACUGGGCGUAAAGCGUGCGCAGGCGGUUUGCUAAGACCGAUGUGAAAUCCCCGGGCUCAACCUGGGAACUGCAUUGGUGACUGGCAGGCUAGAGUAUGGCAGAGGGGGGUAGAAUUCCACGUGUAGCAGUGAAAUGCGUAGAGAUGUGGAGGAAUACCGAUGGCGAAGGCAGCCCCCUGGGCCAAUACUGACGCUCAUGCACGAAAGCGUGGGGAGCAAACAGGAUUAGAUACCCUGGUAGUCCACGCCCUAAAACGAUGUCAACUAGUUGUUGGGGAUUCAUUUCCUUAGUAACGUAGCUAACGCGUGAAGUUGACCGCCUGGGGAGUACGGUCGCAAGAUUAAAACUCAAAGGAAUUGACGGGGUCAUAGCUGUUU